CAGCAUCUGUUGGGGAUGUUGUGAUGACCCAGACUCCACUCUCCCUGCCUGUCACCCUAGGAGAGCCGGCCUCCAUCUCCUGAAGGUCUAGUCAGAACUUUCUAUAUAGCAAUGGAAACACAUAUUUGAAAUGGUUCCUGCAGAAGCGAGUGAAGUCUCCACAACUCCUGAUCUAAGAGGUUUCCAACAGAGAAUCUGGGAUCUCAGAAAGAUUCAGUGUCAGUGGGUCAGGCACAGAUUGCACAUUGAAAGUUAGCACUGUGAAGGCUGAGGCUGUUGGGGUGUAUUACUGCUGUCAAGCUACACAUGAUCCUCCCACAGUGAUACAUCCCUGAACUAGAACCUCUCCUCUGGCUGGGUGAGCAGCCCUCAUGUGUUGCUUGUCUGGGAAGCAGCGGAGAGGAUUGUCUGAAUGAGCUGAUGAGGAAGACAUUGUGAUCAAUGUGACUGGGUGGACAUGAAGAGUAUUUGAUAAUUGGAUGACUUGCAAACUACAAAGAGCAGGAGAAAAUCAUGAAAGCAUAAAGACCAGAGACUUUAGGUAAACAAUGAAGUAUCUAUGUAAAAAAUAUAUUUGUCUCUUAAGUUGUACUAUAGACAAUCAGUGAUAUAAGCAUCAAGUAUCUUCUAUGAUUUUAUUCCCUUCAUAAGGAAACUUAUAAAACUUCCAUCAUGAGCAUGGUUUUGGCCCAUA